GCAGCCUGGGGAUUGCUGAGCUCCACACUGCUUUCUUGGCAGCCACCAUCUGGCUGGCUAAUUACUGCAUGUUAUAACGUCCUUUGGGAGUUUGAAGUACUUGUUAGUGCUAAUAAUGACAGUAAUAGUCAAGAUUAAAAAUAAGGCAGCAAAGUGGAGAGAUUGGAUGCUCAACUGCACUGAUAACCAAGGGGAUUCCCCCUGAAUCCUUCCCUUGUUACAAGGUGAUGGUCAUGGUCCCCCUGCAUGGGACAAGGAUUUGGGGACAUUUCAGAAGCACCAAACUUCUGUCUCUGAUUUGUUGUUAUUGUCUCCUCCUUUGCAGGCUGUUUGCCUCAAUUUCAAUGAAAAGACAGCAGAGGAGAGUGAGUGAUGGCCCAAAUAAUCUACAGCUGCUAUCAAAUCAAGGUGUGGGGGUAAGUGAUGCUCCACAGAGCGUUUAAAGCAGAGGCUAGUGGUGUGAGCUCAGGUAAAUGGUGGUGUUACUGGGCUUUUAUGUAGCAAUAAUACAGGUCUUGGAAACUCAGAGAGGAAUUUGUACUUGGUGCUGCUAUCACUGAAAAAAGUGACCAAGGGAUGUGUUCCAGCAGGUAAAAUUGUGGUUCCUGUAGAAACUAGACACAAGAUUAAAUGUAUUGUAAAAUACAUGCCAAGCCAUACAGCAGCUGGGACUCACAAAGCAGGCUGUGCAAAUGUUGUGAUGCAUUUUGCCAAAACCAGCACAGAAACUGCAGACAGGAGAAGUGUAAAUGGCUGAAGGUUAACAGAGGACAACAAGGCACUACAGGGCUGCUCACAAGUGGAAUCGUCUACGUGCUGCCAUGGAAACAGCAGCCUUGGUCCCCAGCACAGCUUGCAGCCAUCUGCAAGGGAACAAUUGUUGGCCUGUUUGUUUAAAACCAUCCGGGGUGGUGCUGGGCGGUGUGUGGCUGGCCAAGGGGAAGCCACAUGGGACAUGACAGGACGUGCUUGUCACACUGAAUAACACAGCAGACAAAUGCCCACAGAUGGGAUCGACAGUGUCCUGUCUGGAGAAGCGCUGAUGUGCAAAACUGGUGUGAAUCACGUUGGUUGAAUGACUGUUUGAGACCCAGGAACUGCAGCACAUGGCUUGUGAUGCUCACAUGCAUUCACCCUGAUGGGUUUCGGUUCGUGUGGACCCCGGCAAGCAGAGGUCUGUGCAUGCAAAGUCUGUGAGAGGCCACAGUGUGGGAGCACUGAGCAGGCUGCUGCUCCCGAGGAGCUGGAUUUUGACUGCUCCGGUGGGAAACGGAGCCAGGUUAACUUUCUGCACGCGAACAGUUUGACUGAACACACCAGGCUUCUUGGCAUGAAACCGGUGCAGAGGACUGAGCAUCAGCCAGCAUUUGCCAAAAAUGCUGGGAAACCAGCUCCUGGCUUUACUCAGCCAUGUGCUGGGCUUCAAAUCUGUGAAGAAGAGGUUCUGUUUGCCGGCAGUUGCUCUACCUGAAGAGAUGCACAUAGAAAAGAAAUGCACAUGGGAAAUGGCAGAGAAUCUGAUCCACACUAACCUCCUCCCUGCUUGGGUGGGACUAUUAAGCCCAGGUUUGGUCUGCUGGAUCAUGACCUAAAUGUGCUCUGAUGUCGAGUGUGUAUUACUCUGAUCUGCUGUUGCCAUGUGGAAAGUCACUGGAGAGCCCUGCCAGAAGGAGGUGUCCUUCCUCUGCUAGGAAUGGGUGAGGGUACAACCUGCUGGCUGCCAGCUCUGCCCUUUACCCUUCAGAGGUCCUUCAGCACCAUCAGUACCCAGCUGUGAGCUGCCUUGUGUUUCCUCACCCUUGUCAUCUGCCUGGAAGACCAGUGCAGGCAGUGUGGAGGCUCAGGACUUUGCCUGGAGUCCACGGAGGAGCUGAUUUGUCCCCAUUGGCAGGAAGGGGAGCUCAAACAGUCUCCAAACACGUGUGCAUGGAACCUGCUGAGCUGAGCUCGCACACCCACAGUCCUUCCCUCACCCAGCAGCCGAGCACAGCCCUGUCUGACACAGCUGGCAGUCAUUCCAGCUAGCUCAUGAAACCCCUUCAUUUCUGCUUGUUCCCCUCUCUGAGACCA